UACGUAGGGCGCAAGCGUUGUCCGGAAUUAUUGGGCGUAAAGAGCUCGUAGGCGGUUUGUCGCGUCUGCUGUGAAAACCUAAGGCUCAACCUUGGGCUUGCAGUGGGUACGGGCAGACUAGAGUGCGGUAGGGGUGACUGGAAUUCCUGGUGUAGCGGUGGAAUGCGCAGAUAUCAGGAGGAACACCGAUGGCGAAGGCAGGUCCCUGGGCCGCAACUGACGCUGAGGAGCGAAAGCAUGGGGAGCGAACAGG
rnacentral:rRNA from 1 species